CUACAGACCACAUGAUCAACCAGGGUGAAACUGAAGACGGACAUUAUGCUUCUCUUCUUCAUGGUGAUUCUUGUCUCUAUGAAACACUCAGAGGCUCUGAAGAACAUAAACAAGGGACGAAUGAUGAACCAGAGGAGAGCGAUUACUCAAAUGUGACGAGGUAAACAGCUGCAGGUACUUCAAGUACAACGGACCAUGUAGUACAAUAUGAAUAAAACAUCUGCAUGGACAGAACCAGGGGAACAGAUGACGACAUGAAAAACCACAUCUU